AGCUUUCACACCAAUUACAAGUAGCUCUAGCAAAACAGAAAAUUUCUCCUCAUAAUACUCAACAACAAAAAAAUGUUGUUUACUAUUAUUUUAAUUCCAAGUGUUUUUAAACCCACGAAUUCACAUCAAUUAAUCUCAUAGUUUUACAUACUAGGUUACCAUGGUUACGAACAUAGUUUCAACAUCAUGGGUACAUUUAAUGAGGAAACAAUUCCACAGGACAUCAUACAUUUCAAGUAAUGAUUAAAAAUAUGCAAACUAGUUUAUAAUAUAUUGUUUGUUUGUCAGGCGACUUCAAACCACCAUUGUUAUAAUUCUGCAUACUAUAUUUUAUUAAUAAAAUGAAAACCGCCAUGUUUGUAUCAUUGUUGUAAAUAUUUGUUGUCUGUAACUGUUAAAUUGGAACUUUGUACCAGAUCCAUUAGAACUUGUAAUGACUCAACUAUUAUAAGCAUGUGUUAAUAUGAUAUUCACUAUAACAUGUGUCAGAAGGUUAGCGUUUUUCUGGGUUGAUAUUCAAAAGACACGCUGAAAACUUAACACUUGCCAGGGAUGUAAAAAAACGUUAACAUGAAACAAACUUUUAACCAAAUGGAUCUAAAUGGAAAAGAUAUUAUAUGUACCGUAUGCCAAUUUUGCCUGAGAGAGUUAUAAGACCUAAACAUGCUAAAUUUGAUAAUGAUUUCUUAGUUAGUUCAUAAACAGGGAAUUGUUGACACGUGUGACCGUGCUGAUUGCUAUUUCAACGAUGAAAUUUCAAUCGUAUUUUUAUACGCAAAGUUAUUUAUUGAUAUCAAAUAUUCUAUCGAUCGUUGUAGUUUUGGUAAAU
rnacentral:lncRNA from 1 species